CCUACGGGAGGCAGCAGUCGGGAAUAUUGCACAAUGGAGGAAACUCUGAAGCAGUGACGCCGCGUGCAGGAAGAAGGUUUUAGGAUUGUAAACUGCUUUAUACAGGGGGGAAAAAGGACAGUAGCUGUAGAAUAAGCUCCGGCUAAAUACAUGCCAGCAGCCGCGGUACUACGUAGGAUGCAAGGGUUAUCCGGAUUUAUUGGGUUUAAAGGGUGCGUAGACGGGAAUUUAAGUUAGUUGUGAAAUCCCUCGGCUUAACUGAGGAACUGCAACUAAAACUGAAUGUCUUGAGUGCGGGAGCGGUAAGUGGAAUGUAUGGUGUAGCGGUGAAAUGCGUAGAGAUUAGGCGGAACACCAGUGGCGAAGGCGACUUUCUGGAC
rnacentral:rRNA from 1 species